rnacentral:rRNA from 1 species
GUAAAUGGCUGCAUAAAUCUGAGUGUACUAAGGUAGCGCUAUAAUUUGCCUUUUAAAUGGGGGCUGGUAUGAACGGGUUCACGUGAGAGUUGCUGUGUCAUAGAAAUUUUUUGAAAUUAACUUCUAGGUGAAGAGGCCUAAGUAAAAUUAAAGGACGACAAGACCCUAGAAGCUUUACUAAGGGUAGGUUAAUAUAUUAAUUUAUUUAAGUUUUGUUGGGGCAACAUAGUUAGAAAGUAUAACUUGUUUUUAUAAACUUACAAGUUAAAACCACAUCGGUGAAUAAGAUAAGCUACUCUAGGGAUAACAGCGUUAUUUUUUUUAAUAGUACGUAUUGUAAAAAAAGUUUGCGACCUCGAUGUUGGACUAAGGUGUCCUUAAGGUGUAGAAGUCUUAAAGGGUUGGCCUGUUCGUCCAUUAAAACCUUACA